CUCGAUGAGUAGGGCGGGACACGUGGUAUCCUGUCUGAAUAUGGGGGGACCAUCCUCCAAGGCUAAAUACUCCUGACUGACCGAUAGUGAACCAGUACCGUGAGGGAAAGGCGAAAAGAACCCCGGCGAGGGGAGUGAAAAAGAACCUGAAACCGUGUACGUACAAGCAGUGGGAGCCCCACCACUAAGCCAGUGGUGAACUCCACAUACGCAUCCUUUGCUGAGGAUACGGUUAACGGAGCGAAAGCGACGUUCAACCUCAAAAGAAGCAGAGGGGGCUUAGUGGUGGGGUGACUGCGUACCUUUUGUAUAAUGGGUCAGCGACUUAUAUUCUGUAGCAAGGUUAACCGUAUAGGGGAGCCGUAGGGAAACCGAGUCUUAAC
rnacentral:rRNA from 1 species